rnacentral:rRNA from 1 species
UACAGAGGUCCCAAGCGUUGUUCGGAUUUAUUGGGCGUAAAGAGCGUGUAGGCGGCCAGGUAGGUCUGGUGUGAAAACUCGAGGCUUAACCUCGAGAUGUCAUCGGAAACCAUUUGGCUAGAGUCCGGAAGAGGAGAGUGGAAUUCCUGGUGUAGCGGUGAAAUGCGCAGAUAUCAGGAAGAACACCAAUGGCGAAAGCAGCUCUCUGGACAGUUCCUGACGCUGAGGCACGAAGGUCAGGGGAGCAAACGGG